GGCUCCGGAGAUUUCUGGGGCAUGGAACUCAACUUUGGACAUAAUCCGGGAUAUUGAUUCGUCCAGCCCUAAAAUAGCACAGCCCCGCUGGAUGCACGACACGGAAUAUGCCAUCAUCGCUUACUGCAGCUAUGGCUGUCUUCUCCUGGUUCUGGCCUGUGUUGUCACAACCCUGCUGGUCGUGUUCGGAACUAUGUGAAAAAGACUCACUCAAUGUACUGUUAAAUUAAAGUUAAUUUAGGAUCAUCACACCACUGUCUACGUCACGAUUUCUGUGGCGGAAUAGAAUACAUGAAUAUAAAACGGUUUGGAAUAGUUCUUGAACAAAACUAUUUUUUCUCUAUAUUCAUUCAAGUUUGUCAUCAAUAUUCUCUAUUCAAGCUAUUGGCGGUUAACUCCCCUACAGAAGGUUAAAGUCGUGCUAGAUUAUUUAAAUCCGAAUCCGAAUACGCGGUGUAAUAAACUAGAAUCUUAUUUUCGUAUUUUAGCAUCACACAGCGACCAGUUUAACUUUGCUGGCCACACAGACAUUGCAAAAACUAACAGGGUUUCAUUGUAAUUAAAACAUUGCUAUGACGUCAUUUUGUCUAAGGAUUUACAUUUGGCUGUCCGAUAUUAGUGACCAGGUAGCGGACAAUACAAGUAUAAUCUAAUAUAUCAAUUGUAAUAUCAGACUGCCCCAGUACUAAUGUCCAAAUCAACAAAUGAAAUUUAAAGGGCGAUGAUUCGAGUGCGAUAUAUGUUCUAAUGGGCCUCAAACUGUGUGGUAUAUUUUUCAUACAGUGCUGUAUGCUGUAAAUAAACAAUGCUCAAAUACAGUAAACAUCAUAUCGAUAUUCCCCAAUGAAAUUUUUAAACAUUGCCUUACUGAAUCGUUAGUCCUACUUACACCUGAACUAGUGACUUAUACUAUCUUUAGAUAUUUUUUAAUUGGUUCAAAAAGUAAUCCUUUCUAAGUGAUUGGACAAACCGGCAGUGACCUUCAGGGGAAGCGGAAGUAAGGCGUGAUGCUGUAUAUUCAAUUUGGAUGAUCGCAGGCUUCACAGAUCUGGGAUGUUGGCAUACAUUGAAUUUAAAGAAGCACUUAAUGAGAAAAUGUUAUUGGAUUCUUUGUUUGUGUAAAACCUGAAGACAGGACGAAGCGGACUUUAAUUUCUGUUGAUGGCUAUGUUUACGCUUGGCGGCUGAUAAAUACCUCGGGAAAGGAAAUUAAACUUUGAAAUUAUCAUUUUCUUGGAGCCCGACCAGUUCACAAAUAUAAACGAAGAAAUAAAUAUGUAAAUAUUCCAUUGAUCUGGCAAGCAUUUGAUUUGUGCGAAGCACGAUAAGCUGGCUGAAGCUCGUGAAGUUUUACAUAAAAAGAAACAAUGAAUUUCACGAAAAUCUUAUAAAAUCAUAGGGUAACGUGACUGUUCACCAAUACUAAUGGUGGGAUAUUCACGGAAUAUCAGCCUGUAGCAACAGACGGACGUAUAUCUAGCGUAUUGAUCUGCUGUCAAUAUUGCAUUUGCAGUGUAUUAUAUUUAACUGAAUAUGUCAACAGCAUUAAGAGGUUAGUCCGGUGUAGAUGACAAAGGACAUCGCAUAUUGAAGACAGAGGGGGUGGAUUUAUUAGUUACACGCGAGGCAUCUGACAGCUUCACGGACGAAAAGAUGUAAUUCGCUGAUAGAUAUAACGGGCUAGAUUUUGUUCGAUGUCGACGGUGAAUGUUGUGUUUGUUUUACAUCAUAUAUUUUUUCUGGAGUUGGAAUAAUGGAACAAAACGGUGAAGCACCUGAGGAAGAUUUCAUUGCCACACUUCUAAAACAGUCGACCGCCACGUCACAUGACAACAAAGCUUAUUCUACUACGCCAACCAGUGCCUGCGGUCCCUCGGACGCCUCACGGACAUCCCAACCCCUGGUCAGAAAAAAUGGACAUCAACUUCUGGGAAACCAUUUGACUGUCAUGUCAACUAAAGAUAAAACAGCAAGCCCCCAUGCCAGUCAUCUAAGUCUUACGGAUCCUUCAUUAGAUGAUAAAGUGUAUACCGUCUUGGCGUACGGGAUUUAUUGUCUCCUGCUUAUCAUCCUCACCAUGGUGACAACAAUCUGCCUUAUUGUGCUCACGUGACCUCUCCAAGUGCAACGAUAUCAUUACCAUGAGGAAAACUAUGUCAGUUAUCCGUGACGUAUCACUGAACUCUGACUCCAAUAUCAAGCACACACAAACAUCGAAAUGGAUUAAUUGAAAAGUACUUAGUGUCGUUGUAUCAUUAUUUGGUGUAUAGUAUCUUAGACAUUCCAUCAAACUUGGAAGAAUUCUACUUCAGCUUCGAUGUUGAAUACAAAUUUUGGAAGGGAAAGUUCGAAAUUUUCCAUCAAUGAAAUUGGUAGGGAUGCACAGCAAGUUAGCAACAUGUGGUUUUAUGAUUUUCAAAAGGUCAAUGGAAUCCAAAUGGAGUAUGAAUGUAGUGUAUUCUGUUUCCCAUUUCAAUUACGCUUGUCUAGACGUUACAUAUACAUGGUAUCGCACCGGUAAUUAUAUUUUACUAUACAUUACAAACAAAAAUAAUUAAUACUCAGUUUGUAAAAUUGAGGUAAAAAUCAUAGUCGGAAAUUAAAUGUUCUAUGUUACCCGUUUCGUUGUACUGAUAAAGGAAAAACAAGGAAUUGCGCUGCAUUUUCGAAUAAUUUUCACCCGCAAAUAAGAUUAACGUCAAAUCCACGUGUUUGUCACAUGUUCAAUAUAUCUUUUAACAUGUUUUAUCAUAUAUAACAUAAUAGGAUUAGACAGCAGACAGGACCUAUGUAUAAGCCUUCUUUCAUAUAUGUGUAAACAGUCCCGAGUGCACCCCAGGAACUUCAACAUUAAAUAGUUACUUUGUAAACAAUCAUGUUUAUAAAUUACACAAAAUUUCCUAACGAGGGGUACACAAUUAUGAGAAGAAGAUAAGGGGAAAUAAAAAAAAAAAAAAGGUUUGCGCAAGAAAAAAGUCUAAGUUCAUGAUGAUUGGACAAUUACCGGUGUGAUACCAUUUUGGACACGCUGAUGUCAAAGAAUAAGAAUGCUGGAGAUUGUUGAGGUGCGCUUUGAUUCGCGCGACCCUUGUGUGUCUUGUUUUAUUGUUAUGGUUUUUUAUCAAUAAAUAAACGACAAAACUGUGUGUAGAAUUUUUGAAAGACUUCAGUAUUGAAAAUUAAACAGUACAUCAGCAUUGAGAAUACAGGGGUUUCAGCAUUUCGCAAAUUCUAUAAUUGUUAUAACGAUCUAGCUUGCCAUUACAACCUAUCAUUUGGGUCAAAUGCUGUUUCAUACCGAUUGAUAUGCCGUUCUUGUACACUGAUUU